rnacentral:rRNA from 1 species
GUGUCAGCAGCCGCGGUAAUACGAAGGGGGCUAGCGUUGUUCGGAAUUACUGGGCGUAAAGCGCACGUAGGCGGAUUGUUAAGUUAGGGGUGAAAUCCCAGGGCUCAACCCUGGAACUGCCUUUAAUACUGGCAAUCUCGAGUCCGAGAGAGGUGAGUGGAAUUCCGAGUGUAGAGGUGAAAUUCGUAGAUAUUCGGAGGAACACCAGUGGCGAAGGCGGCUCACUGGCUCGGUACUGACGCUGAGGUGCGAAAGCGUGGGGAGCAAACAGGAUUAGAAACCCCAGUAGUCC